CCUACGGGAGGCAGCAGUGAGGAAUAUUGGUCAAUGGACGAGAGUCUGAACCAGCCAAGUAGCGUGAAGGAUGACUGCCCUAUGGGUUGUAAACUUCUUUUAUAUGGGAAUAAAAUGUUCCACGUGUGGGAUUUUGUAUGUACCAUAUGAAUAAGGAUCGGCUAACUCCGUGCCAGCAGCCGCGGUAAUACGGAGGAUCCGAGCGUUAUCCGGAUUUAUUGGGUUUAAAGGGAGCGUAGGUGGAUUGUUAAGUCAGUUGUGAAAGUGUGCGGCUCAACCGUAGAAUUGCAGUUGAAACUGGCAGUCUUGAGUACAGUAGAGGUGGGCGGAAUUCGUGGUGUAGCGGUGAAAUGCUUAGAUAUCACGAAGAACUCCGAUUGCGAAGGCAGUUCACUGGACUGCAACUGACGCUGAGGCUCGAAAGUGUGGGUAUCAAACAGGAUUAGAUACCCUAGUAGUC
rnacentral:rRNA from 1 species